GGUCUCCCAGCGCUUGCCACAGGCUGUGUUCUUACAUUGACUGCACAUAAAAAAGGAGGCAGAGUAAACCACCCCAUAUAUUCCUCAGCCCUGGCCCUUUGCCUGAUCUAUAUUGUGAAUGGGGGAACAUGG